CACCCUCCCACUCAAUCCCUCCAUGCCGUCACAACCUCCCACUCAAUCCCUCCCCGCCCAACGCCGCCACCCCUUCUCCGCCUCCGGCGUCGCCCGCCGGGCCUGCUCAGCCGGAGCCCUCAGUUAGGAAACCCUAGUGUGUCUGUGCCAAAAGGAUCCUUCACUGCGCCCCACUACUUGAGUUUUGGGUGUUCCUCCCCACUGGAGUAUAGUUUCUAAAUCUGAUUGAACAUCUCCGUUUCAAGCGGAGCUUCUUUUUGGAGUCUAAGUCCAAAUGGUGGCCAUCACAGGGUUUCCAUUAAUCCACAGUCAAAAUCAGGAGCUGUGAACAGGGAGGUACUCAGUGAGCUAAUCAAGUUGCACGGGAAGACAUCCCUUGGCGGCAAAUUGCCUGCCUAUGAUGGAAGAAAGAGUCUUUACACUGCAGGCUCACUCCCAUUUGAAUCAGAGGAGUUUUCUGUUACACUGGUUGAUCCGGAAAAGAAGGACAAAGAAAGGGCUGAAAGGGAGUACAAGAUCACCAUUAGAAUUGCUGGGAGGACAGACCUGUACUACCUUCAGCAGUUUCUCAAAGGACGACAGAUGGAUAUGCCUCAAGAAACCAUCCAAAUGCUUGAUGCUGUCCUCAGGGAGUCACCAUCCUGGAACUAUGUCACAGUGUCCAGAUCCUUCUUCUCCACCACUUUUGGUCACAGGGGAGACAUUGGUGAAGGAUUAGAGUGCUGGAGAGGUUAUUACCAGGGCUUAUGCCCGACACAGAUGGGGCUGUCUCUCAACAUAGAUAUAUCCGCAACAUCCUUCUUCAAGCCUGUGACAGUGGUCCAGUUCGUGCUGGAGUUCCUCAACUUACGUGAUGCCUCACGACCUCUGACAGACAUGGACCGUGUCAAGAUAAAGAAAGCACUCCGUGGGGUGCGUGUUGAGACAAACCACCAAGAAGACAAAAUCAGAAGAUACAAGAUAACAGGGAUUACUCCUGUCCCCACGAGCCAGCUCAUAUUUCCUGUUGAUGAGAGAGGAACAAGAAUGUCAGUUGUUCAGUACUUCAUGCAAAGAUACAACUACAGUCUGAAGUACACUGCUUGGCCCUGUCUGCAGUCUGGAAGUGAUGCUCGUCCUGUAUAUCUGCCUAUGGAGGCGUGCAAGAUUGUUGAAGGGCAAAGGUACUCUAAGAAACUGAAUGACAAGCAGGUCACCAACAUACUUAGAGCUACCUGUCAUCGUCCGCAGCAGAGGGAGGAAAGCAUUCGUGAGAUGGUUCUGCACAACAAGUAUGCUAAGGACAGGUUUGCACAGGAGUUUGGAAUCAACGUCUGCAGUGACCUGGUCUCUGUUCCAGCCUGUGUGCUGCCUCCCCCCAUGUUGAGAUAUCAUGAUUCUGGAAAGGAGAAAACUUGUGCGCCAAGUGUUGGACAGUGGAACAUGAUUAACAAGAAAAUGAUCAAUGGAGGAAUCAUAGGCAACUGGGCCUGUGUGAGUUUUUCACGCAUGCGUCCUGAGGAGGUACACAGGUUCUGUUGUGAUCUGAUUCAGAUGUGCAAUAUGACUGGAAUGUCUGUCAAUCCAAGGCCACUUGUAGACAACCGAUCAGAUAGCCCCAACCACAUUGAGAAUGCUUUGAGUGAUGUGUACAGGAGAACUACGGAAAUACUUGGCAACCAGGGACAGCUACAACUGUUAAUCGUAAUCCUACCUGAAGUCAGUGGUUCUUAUGGGAAAAUCAAGAAGGUUUGCGAGAAUGACCUUGGGAUCGUGUCUCAGUGUUGCCUGCCAAGGCAUGCUGCCAGACCGAACAAGCAAUAUAUGGAGAAUGUUGCACUCAAAAUCAAUGUGAAGGUUGGAGGACGCAACACAGUUAUGGAGAGAGCUUUUGCGCGAAAUGGCAUACCGUUUGUGUCCGAUGUUCCAACAAUCAUCUUUGGUGCUGAUGUUACACCCCCACCUGGAGAGGACUCUGCAUCAUCUAUUGCUGCGGUGGUGGCAUCAAUGGACUGGCCAGAGAUCACCAAGUACAGAGGUCUUGUCUCUGCUCAACCACACAGGCAGGAGAUAAUCGAAGACCUCUUCAGUGUCAUCAAAGAUCCACAGAGGGGUAAUGUCAAUGGCGGCAUGAUCAGGGAGUUACUUAUUGCCUUCCGCAAGAAGACAGGCCGGAGGCCUGAAAGGAUUCUCUUCUACAGGGAUGGUGUAAGUGAAGGCCAAUUCAGCCAUGUUCUGCUUCAUGAAAUGGACGCAAUCAGGAAGGCCUGCGCCUCUUUGGAGGAAGGGUAUAUGCCCCCAGUCACCUUUGUGGUUGUCCAGAAAAGGCAUCACACGAGGCUGUUCCCUGAGGUCCAUGGGAGGUGUGAUAUGACUGACAAGAGUGGGAACAUACUUCCAGGAACUGUGGUGGACCUCAUGAUUUGCCACCCAAAAGUGUUUGAUUUCUACUUGUGCAGCCAUGCUGGCAUUCAGGGAACUAGCAGGUCAUCACAUUACCAUGUUCUUUAUGAUGAGAAUCACUUCACAGCCGAUGCGCUUCAGUCACUGACCAACAAUCUCUGCUACACCUAUGCUCAUUGCACUCGUGCUGUCUCUGUUGUCCAACCGGCGUACUAUGCCCAUCUUGCGGCAUUCCGUGCGCGCUACUACGUGGAAGGGAACAGCUCGGACGGCGGGUCGACCCCCGGGAGCAGCGGGCAGGCGGCGAUUGCGCUAGAGGGCCCUGUGGAGGUGCACCAGCUCUCAAAGAUCAAGGAAAAUGUCAAAUUCCCUCUUAAUUUACAGCCAGGUGGUGUACUUCGUGUACGCACCACCAAUGCUGGCAUGAUUAGGGAAUUACUUAUUGCCUUCCGCAGGAAGACAGGCCGGAGGCCUAAUAAGAUAAUCUACCAUAAUGAUGGAGAAGAUGAAGGGUAUCCGACUCUUAAACUUGUCAGCGCAUAUGGCGCGAUCCGAGAAGCAUGUACGUCUUUGGAUGAGGAUUAUCUUCCUUCUAUUGUUAUUGAUAAUUCCCAAGAAAGGCAGCAUCCCAGCGUGUCUCCUGAGAUCAGUGAAACAUUUGAUAACAAGUUAACAAAGGCCAAAUCAGUACCGCCAGCGUACUGUGCCCAUCUGGCCACAUUCUGUGAUUGUUGUAAUGCGGAAGGGGACAACUCUGAUGGUGCGUUGACCCCUGGGAGCAGCGGGCAGGCAGCUGUUGCCCAAGUGCACCCUUCAAAGGAUACUAUAACUUUCAGUAUCGCAUCCCCAUUUGAAAGGUUUGCAGUACAAAUAAACCAGAAUGAGAAAUGCUGUAUUUUAAGGAAGAAAAUUGAAGACAAAUUGCAGAAAUCUAUACACCAGUUUUCUUUGUAUGUGGGAAGUCAAAUCCUGCAAAAUGAAGUCUGUCUGAAGAGUUAUGCCUUCCCAGAUUAUUCAACAGUGCGAAUGAACGUGAGACUUCUAGGAGGAGGGGAUACUUCACGAGCAAAAAGAAGGCGGAACUGCGACCCACAGUCCACGACACCAGACCCUCCUCGCAAUCUGAUAAGUAUCCAGGCCUUAACAGACUAUCUAAAGAGUUCUCCGAGUUUUUGGAUUAAAGUAGAAAUUCCGGAUCCAGAUAUUAUUGGUCAGAAUAAGCUAAUAGAUGGCCUCAAUAGUGAAGGGUUUAUUUUUGCAAAUAGCCUGAUCAAGAUCUGGACAAAUGCUCAGAUGGCUGAGCAAUCAUGGGAUGGGGGAAUAGUCUGUAGGCGUGACAUAGUAGUAAUACAAGGGAGAUGCUAUUGUACGUUACAACCUACAAUAGUAGAUGCCAAACCUUGGCAUAUACUAGCAGAUACCUUGGUAUUGGCAUAUACCUUGGAAGUCUUAUUCGUCAAUGUAGGAAAAACACUUCCCCAUGUGAAAGAUUAUUUGGCUUUUCUACGGAAGGCGGAGGAUAUUUAUGAUCCUCUCCUCUUGCCAUUCAAGAGCAAUCCGUUUGCGUUCAAAUCACCAGAAAGACAAGCUGAUGUGUGCAAUAAUCUUGUAAAGUUCUACUUUGACCUUGAUUCCGCGAGCAAGACCCGUUUUCAGAAUGCGGUGAAUACGGUUAAGCCUGAGAAUUGGCCUGCGGCUAAGACAAUGUACAUCUUUGAGCCGAUCGUUGCUUUUCAAGUAAACAAGCAUGGAUUUGAUACCUACACAGCAAACUCAUUCGGUUGUUUCAAGUUUGUGAGGAAUUAUGACGAGCAUAGUUACAUCAUGAGUCCCCUGGGAUGUUAGGUACUGUAUAAUACCAAUUGCUUUUAGAGAUUUUAUGUGCAAAUUGAUACGGGCAUUGCUGCGCGCAAAAUUCAAGAUUGAGAAAGCAUUACAGUAGAGGCCAAGGUGGAGCCUGUGGUAGGGGCAAAUCCCGAAGAUGAGCUUGAGCUUGUGAUCGUCUUCCAUAAAGCUGAAGCUUCAUUCACCGAUAGUCGCAAGGUCUUAGCAGCCAAGAGUUUUUUUCCCUUGCUUUGUAGGAAGAUCAUUUGCUUGGGUGAUUUUGCACUGUAAGACCCGUUCUAGUUGUGGAUCUUAAUCUGGGCAAUGAAAUGAAAGAAUGCAAUCUGGUCUUGUUCC